GACGAACGCUGGCGGCGUGCUUAACACAUGCAAGUCGAACGGAAAGGCCCUGCUUGCAGGGUGCUCGAGUGGCGAACGGGUGAGUAACACGUGGGUGAUCUGCCCCUUACUUUGGGAUAAGCCUGGGAAACUGGGUCUAAUACUGGAUAGGACCAUGCUGUAGGUGGUGUGGUGGAAAGAUUAGUUUCGGUAAGGGAUGAGCUCGCGGCCUAUCAGCUUGUUGGUGGGGUAAUGGCCUACCAAGGCGUCGACGGGUAGCCGGCCUGAGAGGGUGGACGGCCACAUUGGGACUGAGAUACGGCCCAGACUCCUACGGGAGGCAGCAAUGGGGAAUAUUGCACAAUGGGCGCAAGCCUGAUGCAGCGACGCCGCGUGGGGGAUGACGGCCUUCGGGUUGUAAACUCCUUUCAGCCAUGACGAAGCCCUUGUGGUGACGGUAGUGGUAGAAGAAGCACCGGCUAACUACGU
rnacentral:rRNA from 1 species